UACGAAGGGGGCUAGCGUUGCUCGGAAUCACUGGGCGUAAAGCGCACGUAGGCGGCUUUCUAAGUCAGGGGUGAAAUCCUGGAGCUCAACUCCAGAACUGCCUUUGAUACUGGAGAGCUUGAGUCCGGGAGAGGUGAGUGGAACUCCGAGUGUAGAGGUGAAAUUCGUAGAUAUUCGCAAGAACACCAGUGGCGAAGGCGGCUCACUGGUCCGGUACUGACGCUGAGGUGCGAAAGCGUGGGGAGCAAACAGG
rnacentral:rRNA from 1 species